rnacentral:rRNA from 1 species
GUCCCCGCACAAGCAGCGGAGCGUGUGGUUUAAUUCGAUGAUACACGAAAAACCUUACCCGGGUUUGACAUAUAAGUAGUAGGGAUCUGAAAAGUGACCGACCCUUCGGGGAGCUUAUACAGGUGCUGCAUGGCUGUCGUCAGCUCGUGCCGUGAGGUGUCCGGUUAAGUCCGGUAACGAGCGCAACCCCCACUGUAUGUUACAAGUGUCAUACGGAACUGCCGGUAUCAAGCCGGAGGAAGGUGGGGAUGACGUCAAGUCAGCAUGGCCUUUAUAUCCGGGGCUACACACACGCUACAAUGGCCAGUACAAUGGGUUUGCAAGACCGCGAGGUGGAGCCAAUCCUCAAAGCUGGUCUCAGUUCAGAUUGUAGGCUGCAACCCGCCUACAUGAAGUCGGAGUUGCUAGUAACCGCAGGCCAGCCAUACUGCGGUGAAUACGUUCUCGGGGAUU